rnacentral:lncRNA from 1 species
ACAUGUAGCUCCAAGACUAAUUAGAUAUUUUUGAAUACCAUGGUGAAGUCAAAAACAUAAAAAGUAUUGAUUCUACUAAUAGAAAAUAGGAAGACCACCAAUUAGUGUAGUCCUUAUAAGAAAGGAGGUGCAUAAGUCCUAUAUGGAUUAUAGCAUCUUAGAUGUAGGUAGAAAGAUAAGACUAAGGCUUCGUGGCCUCUCUUUAGGAAUCCAUAUACACUAUAUGUGAACUUUGGUGAGGCUCAAAUCCUUGAUCUAUAAACAAGUUAUCUUUGAGAUAAAAUAUUUUUUUUAAUUUUA